rnacentral:rRNA from 1 species
AUUGAACGCUGAUGGUAUGCUUAACACAUGCAAGUCGGGCGGCAGCGGGUUAGUAGCAAUACUAAUGCCGGCGAGCGGCGGACGAGUGAGAAACGCGUAGGAAUCUGCCUUUUAGUGGGGGACAACUUAGGGAAACUUGAGCUAAUACCGCAUAAUACCUGAGGGUUAAAGGCUUCGGCCGCUAGAAGAUGAGCCUGCGUUGGAUUAGCUAGUUGGUAGGGUAAAGGCCUACCAAGGCGACGAUCCAUAGCUGUUCUGAGAGGAAGAUCAGCCACACUGGGACUGAGACACGGCCCAGACUCCUACGGGAGGCAGCAGUGGGGAAUAUUGGACAAUGGGGGAAACCCUGAUCCAGCAAUACCAUGUGUGUGAAGAAGGCCUUCGGGUUGUAAAGCACUUUAGUCAAUGAGGAAGGUCACGCAAGUGGCUUGACGUUAGUUGAAGAAUAAGCACCGGCUAACCCUGUG